rnacentral:rRNA from 1 species
UACGUAGGGGGCUAGCGUUGUCCGGAAUCAUUGGGCGUAAAGCGCGCGUAGGCGGCCCGGUAAGUCCGCUGUAAAAGUCAAAGGCUCAACCUUUGAAUGUCAGUGGAUACUGCCGGGCUAGAGUCCGGAAGAGGCGAGUGGAAUUCCUGGUGUAGCGGUGGAAUGCGCAGAUAUCAGGAGGAACACCAACGGCGAAGGCAGCUCGCUGGGACGGUACUGACGCUAAGGCGCGAAAGCUAGGGGAGCGAACAGG